rnacentral:rRNA from 1 species
GGCGGACGGGUGAGUAACACGUGAGCAACCUGCCUUCAAGAGGGGGACAACAGAGAGAAAUUUCUGCUAAUACCGCAUAAGACCACAGUACCGCAUGGUACAGGGGUAAAAGAUUUAUCGCUUGAAGAUGGGCUCGCGGCCCAUUAGCUAGUUGGUAAGGUAACGGCCUACCAAGGCAAUGAUGGGUAUCCGGCCUAAGAGGGUAAACGGACACAUUGGGACUGAGAUACGGCCCAGACUCCUACGGGAGGCAGCAGCUAAGAAUAUUCCGCAAUGGACGAAAGUCUGACGGAGCGACGCCGCGUGGAUGAAGAAGGCCGAAAGGUUGUAAAAUCCUUUUGAAUUGGACGAAUAAGCUAUGUAGGGAAUGAUAUAGUGGUGACGGUACAAUUUGAAUAAGCAACGGCUAAUUACGUGCCAGCAGCCGCGGUAACACGUAAGUUGCGAGCGUUGUUCGGAAUUAUUGGGCGUAAAGGGCAUGUAGGCGGUUACCUAAGCUUGGUGUGAAAGGCAAGAGCUCAACUCUUGGACUGCACUGAGAACUGGGUAGCUAGAGUUACUGAAGUGGAAUCAGAAUUCCAGGUGUAGGGGUGAAAUCUGUAGAUAUCUGGAAGAAUACCAAUGGCGAAGGCAGGUUUCAGGCAGAUAACUGACGCUGAGGUGCGAAGGUGUGGGGAGCAAACAGGAUUAGAUACCCUGGUAGUCCACACAGUCAACGAUGUACACUUGAUGUCUGGGAAAGAUCCUGGGUGUCGAAGCAAACGCGAUAAGUGUACCGCCUGGGGAGUAUGCCCGCAAGGGUGAAACUCAAAGGAAUUGACGGGGGCCCGCACAAGCGGUGGAGCAUGUGGUUUAAUUCGAUGGUACGCGAAGAACCUUACCAGGAUUUGACAUCCCAGGAAGUCGGCGUAAUGGCUGAUGUGCCCUUCGGGGAAUCUGGAGACAGGUGGUGCAUGGUUGUCGUCAGCUCGUGUCGUGAGAUGUUGGGUUAAGUCCCGCAACGAGCGCAACCCUUACGUUUAGUUGCUACGCAAGAGCACUCUAGACGGACUGCCGUUGACAAAACGGAGGAAGGCGGGGAUGACGUCAAAUCAUCAUGCCCCUUACAUUCUGGGCUACACACGUACUACAAUGGCGAAAACAAAGGGAAGCAAUGCCGCGAGGCGGAGCAAACCCCAUAAAAGUCGUCCCAGUUCGGACUGCAGGCUGCAACCCGCCUGCACGAAGUUGGAAUUGCUAGUAAUCGCGGAUCAGCAUGCCGCGGUGAAUACGUUCCCGGGC